rnacentral:rRNA from 1 species
GGCGUGCUUACACAUGCAGUCGAACGAUGACGGUGGUGCUUGCACCGCCUGAUUAGUGGCGAACGGGUGAGUAACACGUGAGUAACCUGCCCUCCACUUCGGGAUAACCUCGGGAAAUCGUGGCUAAUACCGGAUAUGAGCACUCAUCGCAUGGUGGGUGUUGGAAAGAUUUAUCGGUGGGGGAUGGACUCGCGGCCUAUCAGUUUGUUGGUGAGGUGAUGGCUCACCAAGACGAUGACGGGUAGCCGGCCUGAGAGGGCGACCGGCCACACUGGGACUGAGACACGGCCCAGACUCCUACGGGAGGCAGCAGUGGGGAAUAUUGCACAAUGGGCGAAAGCCUGAUGCAGCGACGCCGCGUGGGGGAUGACGGCCUUCGGGUUGUAAACCCCUUUCAGUAGGGAAGAAGCGAGAGUGACGGUACCUGCAGAAGAAGCGCCGGCUAACUACGUGCCAGCAGCCGCGGCAAU